GAAACGGCAAAUGCCCCUUUGACUUUCGUUUCCAGAAUUAAAAGUACCUCGAAAAGAAUGGUGUUGCUUUUUUUUUUUUUUUUUGCACAGGUGC
rnacentral:rRNA from 1 species